ACGAACGCUGGCGGCGUGCCUAAUACAUGCAAGUCGCGCGAAGUUUUUCUGGUGCUUGCCCUAGAAAAACUUAGCGGCGAACGGGUGAGUAACACGUAAAGAACCUGCCUCAUAGACUGGGACAACUAUUGGAAACGAUAGCUAAUACCGGAUAACAGUAUUUCUCGCAUGAGAGAUAUUUAAAAGUUGGUUAUGCUAACACUAUGAGAUGGCUUUGCGGUGCAUUAGCUAGUUGGUGGGGUAAAGGCCCACCAAGGCGACGAUGCAUAGCCGACCUGAGAGGGUGAUCGGCCACACUGGGACUGAGACACGGCCCAGACUCCUACGGGAGGCAGCAGUAGGGAAUCUUCCGCAAUGGGCGAAAGCCUGACGGAGCAACGCCGCGUGAGUGAAGAAGGAUUUCGGUUCGUAAAGCUCUGUUGUUAGGGAAGAAUGGAUAUGUAGUAACUAUACAUGUAAGAGACGGUACCUAACCAGAAAGCCACGGCUAACUACGUG
rnacentral:rRNA from 1 species